AUUAGCUCCUUUUGAGAAAAACUCCUCUGUGCCCCUCCCUGGUGGGACUCGAGCCUGCGACUCUGGGGUCCAGGAGCGAGUUCCCUACCACUACGCCAGGGAAUCUACCCUUUACUCUGUUUUACCCUCUCCAUAUUAGUCAAACAUACCCUAACACUUUUUACUUAAUAUUUCACUUUUAGGUCCUCUCUUUUAUCUUCUAACCCUGUUUCACCUUCUUACUACUUUUAUUUAUUUUAUUUAUUUAAACCUAUUUAUAAAUGCUUUUUGCACAGUUGGUCAGACGGGCCUCGAACCUGUGCCCUUCUCCCUUCCAGUCUGGCCUCUUAGCCACUACACCCCUGAGGACCUCUUAAGUAGAGCCUUUACACUCUACCUCAACUUCACUUUUUACACUUAGAACUACAAUUCCCAACCACCUUAGCUUCCCUCCAUUUGCAGACCAAUUUCAAAUGCCCCAAUCACAGACAGCCACAUACUCUCAUUUAGAUUGACUCACACUACAUCCAACCAACACCCUUCUUCCCAGAAACAAACCCCUUCCUCUUCCUAACUCCCCCCCUCAUUUCUAACUGAAAUACCAAACACACCAGCACUAGGCACUUUCUCCUCUGAUGCAGGAUUAGUUAUCCGAAACGUCAGGAGUUUUCCAAGGAGCAACACGGUAUUUCUGCUUUUAUUCCUUACUAGUUAAUCCAAUUGGUUUUAAAUUAUUUGAAAUAAAGAUUGGCUUUUAAAUUUUAACAAACACUGUAAGAGGACUACCCUAUCCACCUGCCUGACCACAUGGAUUAGCAUGCUAGCACAUAUCUGGACUGUUUGCUAUACACCUGGCUGUCAAGACUGUGCUCUCUUUCAUGAACUUGGACUGCAACCUCACUCUUUUGGAGGUAACCUGAGCAAUCUACCAUCUGGAACACUACUCUGUGGAUCUUUAACAUCAAACCCAACACAAGCAUGAGGUAUGCGAACCUAGGUCUGCGCUACAGGUUCCACCCAAGUGGGAGGGGUAGACCCAGGACAGUCCAAACCAUCAAGGGUGAUGAUGAGCAAGGGAAACAAAAAAGCUAACCAGCUUACAAAACCCAAUGCUGAGCCCUCCACCU